rnacentral:tRNA from 1 species
AGGCCCUGGGGUGUGACACGUGAGGUUGCAAACUUCAAGAAGCAGAAUAGAAUUCUGCCGGGGCU